rnacentral:rRNA from 1 species
UCGAGGGGUAUAAGGAGCUUGCUCCUUAGAGACCGGCGCACGAGUGCGUAACGCGUAUGCAAUCUACCUUUUACAGGGGAAUAGCCCAGAGAAAUUUGGAUUAAUGCCCCAUAGUAUAUUUGAAUGGCAUCAUUUGACUAUUAAAGUCACAACGGUAAAAGAUGAGCAUGCGUCCCAUUAGUUAGUUGGUAAGGUAACGGCUUACCAAGACGAUGAUGGGUAGGGGUCCUGAGAGGGAGAUCCCCCACACUGGUACUGAGACACGGACCAGACUCCUACGGGAGGCAGCAGUGAGGAAUAUUGGUCAAUGGGCGCAAGCCUGAACCAGCCAUGCCGCGUGCAGGAUGACGGUCCUAUGGAUUGUAAACUGCUUUUAUACAGGAAGAAACACUCCCUCGUGAGGGAGCUUGACGGUACUGUAGGAAUAAGGAUCGGCUAACUCCGUGCCAGCAGCCGCGGUAAUACGGAGGAUCCAAGCGUUAUCCGGAAUCAUUGGGUUUAAAGGGUCCGUAGGCGGCCCAGUAAGUCAGUGGUGAAAUCUCCCGGCUCAACCGGGAAAUUGCCAUUGAUACUGCUGGGCUUGAAUUAUCAGGAAGUAACUAGAAUAUGUAGUGUAGCGGUGAAAUGCUUAGAGAUUACAUGGAAUACCAAUUGCGAAGGCAG